rnacentral:siRNA from 1 species
AUGGUGUCAAGACUCUACUUCCA